CGGCGGCGGCGGCGGCGGCGGCGGGAGCCCCGGCCCCGCGAUAAAAAGGGAAGGGGCCGGAGGUGCGCGCCGCGGGUCCGCCCGGGCGCCGCGCGGCAGAACGUGCCUGGAGGGGGUAGAGGCAGGCUGAGCCGGCGGGGGAGCGGGAGGCUGUGCCCAGCGAUGAGCCGCCUCCCUCGCUCGCUCCCGCCCUCCCGCAGGAAUCCCGGGCGGCGCGGCGGCACCCGGGACGCGCGGCUCCCCCGGGCUCUGCGCGGCGGCGGAGCCGCGCCGGCGAGGAGGAGCCGCCGCCUCAUCCUGCGGCACCGGCCCGGCCGGCGCAGGUGGCAGUGUAGAAGCCAAGAACAAAAAUUGGCAGAAAUUGUGUUCUGUGUACAAGAAUAUGAAGAGUGUACUCAUGACUAAGCACAGGAACCUGGAAAACCACAGGCUUUAGUCAGGUGAUCCCUGAUGAGUAGCCAGCCCACCAAGAAAGGACUUGAGCACACAGGUAAGAGAGAAGCUGUGUACUCUUACAUGCAACUGGGGGGUCUGGGUAAAAAGGUGAACAGCUCUAAAAUUGUUCGAAUAGUUAAAAAAUCCUCACUUGCUUGGAUGUGUAACACUGAUUGUCUCUUUCAAUGCUGCUACUUCUACUAUUCAGCCUUGUUCUUGAUUUUUGUUUUAAUCUGUCUUUAAUUAGAAGCUUUAUUUU
rnacentral:lncRNA from 1 species